UCGGGAAUCUUCGGCAAUGGACGAAAGUCUGACCGAGCAACGCCGCGUGAGUGAAGAAGGUUUUCGGAUCGUAAAACUCUGUUGUUAGAGAAGAACAAGGACGUUAGUAACUGAACGUCCCCUGACGGUAUCUAACCAGAAAGCCACGGCUAACUACGUGCCAGCAGCCGCGGUAAUACGUAGGUGGCAAGCGUUGUCCGGAUUUAUUGGGCGUAAAGCGAGCGCAGGCGGUUUCUUAAGUCUGAUGUGAAAGCCCCCGGCUCAACCGGGGAGGGUGAUUGGAAACUGGGAGACUUGAGUGCAGAAGAGGAGAGUGGAAUUCCAUGUGUAGCGGUGAAAUGCGUAGAUAUAUGGAGGAACACCAGUGGCGAAGGCGGCUCUCUGGUCUGUAACUGACGCUGAGGCUCGAAAGCGUGGGGAGCAAACAGG
rnacentral:rRNA from 1 species